CCUACGGGAGGCAGCAGUGGGGAAUAUUGCGCAAUGGGCGAAAGCCUGACGCAGCGACGCCGCGUGCGGGAUGAAGGUCUUCGGAUCGUAAACCUCUGUCAGCAGGGAAGAACGGUCACUGUGCUAAUCAGCAGUGAAUUGACGGUACCUGCAAAGGAAGCACCGGCUAACUCCGUGCCAGCAGCCGCGGUAAUACGGAGGGUGCGAGCGUUAAUCGGAAUGAUUGGGCGUAAAGCGCUCGUAGGCGGUUUGUGAAGUCAAGGGUGAAAUCCCCGCGCUCAACGUGGGAACUGCCUUUGAAACUGGCAAACUAGAGUGUAUGAGAGGAUGGUGGAAUGCCAGGUGUAGGAGUGAAAUCCGUAGAUAUCUGGAGGAACAUCAGUGGCGAAGGCGACUAUCUGGCACAUAACUGACGCUGAGGAGCGAAAGCGUGGGUAGCAAACAGGAUUAGAUACCCUUGUAGUC
rnacentral:rRNA from 1 species